AACCGAAUAGGGGAGCCGGAGGGAAACCGAGUCUUAACCGGGCGUUAAGUUGCAGGGUAUAGACCCGAAACCCGGUGAUCUAGCCAUGGGCAGGUUGAAGGUUGGGUAACACUAACUGGAGGACCGAACCGACUAAUGUUGAAAAAUUAGCGGAUGACCUGUGGCUGGGGGUGAAAGGCCAAUCAAACCGGGAGAUAGCUGGUUCUCCCCGAAAGCUAUUUAGGUAGCGCCUCGUGAAUUCAUCUCCGGGGGUAGAGCACUGUUUCGGCUAGGGGGCCAUCCCGGCUUACCAACCCGAUGCAAACUGCGAAUACCGGAGAAUGUUAUCACGGGAGACACACGGCGGGUGCUAACGUCCGUCGUGAAGAGGGAAACAACCCAGACCGCCAGCUAAGGUCCCAAAGUCAUGGUUAAGUGGGAAACGAUGUGGGAAGGCCCAGACAGCCAGGAUGUUGGCUUAGAAGCAGCCAUCAUUUAAAGAAAGCGUAAUAGCUCACUGGUCGAGUCGGCCUGCGCGGAAGAUGUAACGGGGCUAAACCAUGCACCGAAGCUGCGGCAGCGACGCUGAUGCGUUGUUGGGUAGGGGAGCGUUCUGUAAGCCUGCGAAGGUGGCCUGUGAGGGUUGCUGGAGGUAUCAGAAGUGCGAAUGCUGACAUAAGUAACGAUAAAGCGGGUGAAAAGCCCGCUCGCCGGAAGACCAAGGGUUCCUGUCCAACGUUAAUCGGGGCAGGGUGAGUCGACCCCUAAGGCGAGGCCGAAAGGCGUAGUCGAUGGGAAACGGGUUAAUAUUCCCGUACUUGGUGUUACUGCGAAGGGGGGACGGAGAAGGCUAUGUUGGCCGGGCGACGGUUGUCCCGGUUUAAGCGUGUAGGUGUGUGUUCCAGGUAAAUCCGGUU
rnacentral:rRNA from 1 species